rnacentral:rRNA from 1 species
AGCUAAUAGAUACCCUGGUAGUCCACGCCCUAAACGAUGUCAACUGGGUGUUGGGGAAGCGAUUCCUUGGUACCGUAGCUAAACGCGUGAAGUUGACCGCCUGGGGAGUACGGCCGCAAGGUUAAAACCUCAAAGGAAUUGACGGGGACCCGCACAAGCGGUGGAUGAUGUGGAUUAAUUCGAUGCAACGCGAACAACCUUACCUACCCUUGACAUGUCUGGAAGGCUGCUGAGAGGUGGCUGUGCCCGAAAGGGAACCGGAACACAGGUGCUGCAUGGCUGUCGUCAGCUCGUGUCGUGAGAUGUUGGGUUAACGUCCC